UCCUAGCCCUGUGCUCGUAACGGUUACCCCGCAGCAUGCGCUGGAAUGUUAUGGCGCGAGGAGUAGGAGUGGAUAGCAGAAAAUAGC
rnacentral:misc_RNA from 1 species